AUGAUAUCAAACCCUAGUUAUUUUGGUGAAGGAAAAUGGAAGCUCACCAAAGGCUCUUUGAUUGUGGCUCGAGGAAGUAAGCAAGGUAAUCUCUAUGUGACUAAAACCAAGUUGUGCAAUAAGGUGUUGAACAUUGUUGAAAAAGACACUUCGGUUGAGUUGUGGCACAAGAGGCUUGGGCAUAUGAGUGAGAAGGGCAUGCACGCUCUUGCUCGCAUGGAGUACCUUCCUGAGUUGAAAGGUAUAUCCUUGACACUUUGUGCACAUUGUUUUGCUGGCAAACAACAUAGGGCUGCAUUCCGUACACUCCCUUCACAUCGUGUAGAAAAUGUUCUUGAUAUUGUGCACACUGAUGUUUGCUCCAUGACUAAAAAAUCUCAUGGUGGAGCAUUAUACUUUGUGACUUUUAUUGAUGACCAUUCUAGAAAGGUUUUUGUGUAUGUGCUGAAACACAAAUACCAGACGCUUGAAGCCUUCAAGGAGUUCCAUGCCAAGGUUGAAAGAGAAACUGGCAGGAAAUUGAAGUGCGUGAGAUCGUACAAUGGUGGUGAAUACCGAGGUCCGUUUGAAAGGUAUUGCAGAAAUUUUGGCAUCGGGCUUGAGAAGAGUCCACCAAAGACACCUCAGCUCAAUGGUCUUGCAGAGAGAAUGAACAGGACACUCACAGAGAGGGUCAUAGCUAUGCUCUCUCAUGCUCAUUUACCUAAUUCAUUUUGGGCUGAAGCAUUGAUGAAUGCUAUGUAUGUGGUUAACCUAUCUCCCUCAGUUCCUCUUGCAGGUGAUAUUCCUCAGAGAGUUUGGUCAGGGAAGGAGGUAUCAUACAAGCACUUGAAGGUCUUUGGUUGCAGGGCAUUUGUACAUGUUCCAAGGGACGAGAGAUCCAAGCUUGAUAGCAAGACAAAGCAGUGCAUCUACCUCAGCCAACCAAGUGAAGAGUUUGGCUACAGGUUGUGGGAUCCAGCCAAUAGAAAGAUUGUGAGAAGCCGAGAUGUGGUGUUCAUUGAAGAUGAAACAAUAAAAGAUAUUGGGAAACCAGAGAAGCCAAUGACCAGCACACCUCAGGUUGAUAUGGAUCCAAUCCGUCCUCCUCUCGUGCAUGACAAUCAUGGGGGAGAUGAUGACACUGAAGACAGUGGAGAUGCAACUGAUCAAGGCAGUACAAGUCAAAGUGACGAGCAGCCAUCAAGUGAUGAUAAUGAUGAAGUUGGUAAUGAUGAUGCCAACGAAAAUCCACCUGAUUCACCACCAGUGCAGCAGCAAAGAUGA
rnacentral:rRNA from 1 species